GGAGAUAUAGCUCAGUGGUCAAGCACCUCUGGUUUUAAACACUGGUAUAAAAAAAAAAAUCACAAGUUCCAUUCUUGUUAUUUCUU
rnacentral:tRNA from 1 species